AAGAAAUGUGGAUGCUGGUCUAGUAGGAAAAGGGGAUUGGAUGCUGGUCUUGCAGGAGAGGUAGCGUGCAAGGCAGGGUGGCAUGGUGGUCCAGCAGUGCUGAUCUCCGGUGACACGCCGACACGUUGGUCUAGGAGGUUCCCAGGGAGAUCCAGAGCCCGCACCAGAAUGUAAAUCAGCUAAGAAACUAAGCGCACUGUGUCGCUCAGCUGAUGUGAUUUCCUAGCAAGACUUCUCCUUCUCGAUGAAGGAGGCACUGCACAGACAGGCGACCUGAUAUAAGUACCUUCUCUUCGCACGGAUCAGUGCGAAUAGGUUUAAACUCCGGCUACUUUCCGUAGCUGUGGUUUAGAGCACAAAUGCUAGAACCGAAAGCCUGGACUCAAGUCUUAGCUCUGCCACUUAUUAGGCUAAGUGGUUUGAGGUCGGUCACCUAACUUCUUUUUUAAAAUUAUGUAUUUAUUUUUAAAUUUUUUCCUUUGUAAGUGUCUUCGAAGGAUAGGUUCUUUACUGGGUCCUAACUUCUUUGGGACCCAGUUUCCUCACCUGUUCAUGAGAAUAAAAUCUUUUUUAAUCGAGAAUAAUAAAACUAGAAUGACGAUGUCGCUAUUAAUUGUAACCUACCACUGUGAACUGUGUGUGUCUGUAUGUGAUACCCACAUAUCAGAGUAAGCGCUCUGGAAGAAUCAAUAAUAAUAACAGUCGUAGCCACAGCGACAACAGUCGUCACGUGCAUGAAACAGUCACCGUGACCCCACAUGGGCGGCUAGAAGUGUGACUCUCCUCCGACCCGAGCUGGUGGCAGAAGGAUUGAGCUGGUUCAUUCAAGACAGGAGAGGCUGGAGUUCUCGUUGUGGCUCAGAGUAGCGAACCCGACUAGUAUCCACGAGGAUGCAGGUUCGAUCUCUGGCCUUGGGUUAAGGAUCCUGCAUUGCCGUGGCUGUGGUGUAGGCAGGCAGCUGCAGCUCCAAGCACACCCCCCCCAAUUAAAAUGUGACCAGGGCUGGGGAAUGGAGGGAGGUGGGAGGCCAGCUCUGAUCUGACCCCUAGCCCAGGAACUUCCAGAGGCUGCUGGUGUGGCCCUAAAAAGAAAAAAAAGAAUGGGUCUUGCUAUUUGAAUCUGAGCACCAGGGCAGCGGCAGUCUAGGGUAGCGGCUUUCAGUAGCUGCCACUCACGGUAAUAGACAGACAUUGUCUUCUUUCUCUUUUCUCUCUGUCCUUCGAUUCUGUCUGUCUCUCCGUCUCUCUCUGGUCUUGCUUUUCUGGGGCAGGAUGUGGAGAAGACACUGCCCUCUAUCCUCACAGUUGUCUGCAAGCAGUUUUGAUUUUUAUCAAAGGGCAAAAGGAAAGUUAACCACACACCUGUGGAGAACGGACCAAAGGGAAAAAAUGCAUGAAGCUUUGGCGAGAAGGCAUAUCUGAUAUAAAAGCUCCUGUCCUCACGUGGGUAAAGGAUCUGACUUAAAGACAGAUCCCCCGUGAGUGCCUGCUGUGCUGUAGCGGGUUACUGAUCUGGCUGGUCUCUGUGGAGGUGCCGGUUCGAUCCCCAGCCGAGAUCCAGCAUUGCCCAAAAGGUACAUGACACACCAAAAAAUUAAGAACCAAGACAAACACAAAACGUGAAGAUGGCGUAUGACACAGAUGGGAAAAGGAUGCUUGCGUUCUGAGAGGAAGCAGGAAGGCUGACCUUGCGCUGAUGGCCUUCAGGUGGGAGAGGGCUGGUCGGGCACCUCUGUGCCUGCUGUGAAUGACCUUGAAAGCACCAUGAGUAUUCAUUUGGGGUUUCGAAUAAAAUGGUGUCGAGGAGGUGACUUUGCAAAUAUGGAAUGGGGGAAUAAUGAGGCGGGACCGUAAAUAUACGUCCUUUUAGAUGACAUCUCUCACUCAGCCUGAUGUUCUCCAGUCUCACCUACGUUGUAUCGGGCAUCAGAACUUCAUUCCUUUUUACUGUCAAAUAAUAUUCCACGGGCCGUUAUCAAUAACGCGCUUGUGCCCGUAUGUGUGCAAGAACCAGUGUGCGCACGUGUUCUCGUUUCUCCAGGGGUGUGAUGAGGAGCAGCACUUCUGGGGCAUACGGUAGCGCUGUUUAACCCUGUGAGGAGCUGAGAGACUGUUUCCCAAAGCAGCUACCCUGUCUUACAUUCCCAGUAGCUACGGAAGCGGAUGCCCAUUGCUUUUCAUCCUGGCUAACACACCUUAGUAUCUUUUUUUUUUUUUUUUUUUGGUCUUUUGUCUUUUGUCUUUUGCUGCUGCUGUUGUUGUUGUUGCUAUUUCUUGGGCCGCUCCCGCGGCAUAUGGAGGUUCCCAGGCUAGGGGUCGAAUUGGAGCUGCAGCCACCGGCCUACGCCAGAGCCACAGCAACUCGGGAUCCGAGCCGCGUCUGCAACCUACACCACAGCUCACGGCAACGCCGGAUCGUUAACCCACUGAGCAAGGCCAGGGACCGAACCCGCAACCUCAUGGUUCCUAGUCGGAUUCGUUAACCACUGCGCCACGACGGGAACUCCAAUAUCUAACUUUUUGAUUAUGUUGAGCUUGAAGGGAUCGCUCCUUGUGGUUUUAAUUUGCAUUUCCCUAGUGAUGGAUGAUGUUACGGUUGGGUACCUGUGUGAGCUCACCGGCCUCUGUAGAAAUAUCUGUUCUGAAUUUUUAGGGAGGGGUUCUUAAUUUUUGUGUGUGUCAUGUACCUUUUGGGCAGCCUGGUGAACCUUCUGGAUCCUGCCUCUGGAAAGAAAACCUAUUGUAUUGAAAUAAAGUCCUUAACAAUAUGUUUAUAAUUAUUCUUAAAAAUAAUUUUAAAACAUUUGUCAUAGAGUCAUUUUUAAUCUCAUUACUAACAUGUGAAACAAAAUGAAGAGGUAGAUUUAACACCAGGAUGGGAAGUUAGUGAUGGGUAUUAACAAUAUUUGGAGAUGUGUGCAACCGACCACUGUAAUAAAUUACAAAAAUAUAUUUCCCUUGGGUUGGUGGCAGAAUCACGGCAGUAAUAUGACUAAACAAUAUUACUCGGUAGUAUUACUUAGUUACCUAUACUCAGAGCUGAGAAAAAGCUAAAUUUCAGUUAGAAGUUAAUGAAGAAGUGAUGUGAUUAUUUUCCCUUCCAAGAUCACAAACACUUAGGAUUCUAUUUAAGUUUCCCUUGGGGGGGGGGUCCAUAGAUCCUAGAUUAAGAAGCUGCCAGAGGAGUUCCCUGGUGGUACAGUGGGUUAAGGACCCAGUAUUGUCAUUGCUGUGGCACGGGUUCAAUCCCUGGCCCAGAAGCGGUGGGUGCAGCCCCCUUUCCCCUGGCGG
rnacentral:lncRNA from 1 species